rnacentral:ncRNA from 1 species
CUAAGCUAGUUUGUUAGCGGCUGGCUGGUUACUGAUACUAACAGUAGCUAUACAAGCAAGAUUCUCAAAUUGCGGGGAUACCUUAAAGGUUAAGUAACCAACUAUAAUUAGUAAUAGUUAUAGGGCGCAGGUAAUGACUAACGGUAUGGUAAAAUCACUUAACAUUAAGCUUAUAAACUUGAAUAGGCAAUCCGCAGCCAAGUACCUAAUUUAAAAUAUUUAGGUAUGCAGUUCAACGACUAGACGGGAGUCGGCUAUAAAAUAUAAAUUAUGGCUUAAGGUAUAGUCUGACCUGGUACGAAAGUACUGA